GAAAACAGAGAGGUCCCUUUUUCAGUCAUUGUUCGUCCUUUCUCCCCCUAUCUCUCUCUCUCUCUCUCUCUCAGCGGCAGUAGUUUUUCUCUCCCUCUUUCUCGGUCUCCGUUUCUACAAAAGGAUUGAUUCUAUCCCUACGAUUAAGGUAAGGUUGUCUCUUCGUCUUUUUUCUUUUUUUUUUUUCGUUCUUCUAGAUUUUUCUCUAUUGUUUUUUUUUAAUUAAUUUUCUGUUGUUUAUUUGGUUCUGUGAGAGAGCAAUUACCACGUUUGAUUUUAUUAGAUCGUCGAAAAUUAUUAUUUAUUUAUUUACUAAUCAAAUCUGAUGAGAAGUUAAAUGAAAUGGAAUUCUAAUUUAUUAAUUUAAAUGAAAUUUUUGCAUAUUACGGCUUCUAAAUGCUGAAUUAUGUGAAUGAAUGGAGAAAGUGAGUGUUUUUUGAAGUGAAUUUUCAAUGAUUCAUUGACUAGUUAAUUUUAUAGAAUAAAAUUGAAGCUCAAGAUUUAUGUUUUAAUCGGUAGCUAUGUGUUUUUGGCAGUUUUUACAGAUAAAUGAUGGUAUUAGAUGCUGUUUUUGGGUAUAUGGGGGUGUGCUUUAGAGAAAUCUUGACUUACAACGAAUAUUCUUUGCUGUUUUAUCAGCAAUGAGUGGUGAUGAAUUAACAUGUUUAGUUCUUGUUUUUAUCUUUAUUUGGAUCAUAAAUGAGGCCGAGUGAUAAUAUAAUAUCUUUAGGCUUACUCAAGUGCAUAUAAGUAUAGUAAAUUGUCAACUCAUCAUUCUUCAGUUUAGCCAAUUGUUGAGACCACGUUAUAUAGACAUGUUGCUUCUUUGAUCGAGUCAGUGAUAUUUUCUCUUUGAUAAAGUCAUAAAUAUUUUUCCUAUGACAAGUCAGAGAUGUUUUCCUCUCGAGAUAUUUUUCUUUUUUGACACGUUAGAGGAUUGAAUAUUAUCAGCAAAAAAGUACCUUUUAGUCCUUCCCUCGAUAUAUAUAAAUAAAAAAAGUAAGAAGAAUGGGCUAUAAAAACUUGUUGGAUCCUCAGAAAGCCUAACUCUCAAUUUCUAUUCUUCAUGACAUAUUUAUUUUCAAGAGUUUUUCUUUAAAAUAUUAUUGUAUUUGCUCAAAAAAUAAAUAAAUUACUUAAGCAUUAGAGAGUUUUAAAAUUUAUAAAACGAGACCUUUUAUAGGUAUUAAAUACCAACCAUUAGCCAUCUUGACAAUGAAAAAUGAAUCAGAUUGCUAAAACUAAAAAAUUAAUUGAUUAUCCAACAUAUAUGUGUCUUGUUAUCCAGCUACUUGGAUUUUUAGGGAUAUCAUCAAUGGUGUUAUCUAUGGAAACCUCAUAAAAAAGUUAUCAAAGGUGGAUAAUCAAAACACUCCUAGAAUGAAAUAUGUCACGAAUCUUCAUAUAGUUGUUAGCACAUAUACUCCAUGAAAGCUUUAACAACUAUUCAAUAAGUAAGAAAUGCUAUGCAGCAAAUUAAUGAGACGAGCAAGUUUAGGCUAAGCAUUUACCAUCUUCACAAAUGCAGUUAGAGCCUCAAGGUUCUGUAUAGUUUUUAACAAGUAUAAGUGGGAUGUUGGUUCAAAUCGUAAAAAAGUAUGAACUUCGUAUGUCAACUACUCAUAAGACAUCUACUAGAGAAAUUAUAUUCUCUCCUUUAUUUGUAUAGUUGAGGCCAUGAUCUCAACAAAAAUAUUAUCAAGAUUAUUAUACCUCAAGUUUUUUAUAUAUAAAUUAAAUUAUUCAUAAUAAUGAUGCAUUCUUUUCUCUAGAUGAUAUCCAGGGCAACAAUCUUCCAACUUUUUGAAUAGAAUAAACUCAAUUUUUUUUAAUGUGAUUGUACAUUUUACCUUCAAAGAAAUCAACCUGAUCUUCCUACUGCGAUUUCAUAAUAAUGUCUGAAAUAGAAACUAACUACUGAAUCAAUCCGGCAGUUCAAACGAGAGAGAAAGUGGGAUGAACUGACCUGUGAGAGAGGCUGAACUUGCCCAUCUUGUAAGGAGAAAACAGAGAGAUCCCUUUUUCAGCCAUUAUUCUUGCUGUCACUUCCUUUCUCUUCUUGCUGUCACUUCCUUUCUCCAACUAUCUUUCUCUCUCUUUAAUCCAUCUAACAGCAUCUCUGUCAGCGGCAAUAGUUUUUCUCUCCCUCGUUCUCGGUCUCGGUUUCUGCAAAUCCCUAUGAUUAAGG
rnacentral:lncRNA from 1 species